rnacentral:lncRNA from 1 species
AGUAACUGGUGGAGACCUAUCUGCAUCAAAUCUGGUGCAUGUAGUACUAUUCAAGAAAGAAAAGCAAACAGAAAUAUCUGACUCUUACCAGCAAAGGCAAGGAGAACUGCAGCUAAAAUGCAUUGGACCGUCUGUUUCUUUAAGAAGAAAAAACAGAGCCUGAAUCUCUUGGAGGAAUCUGCUUGCUGAAUAGAAGAAAUAAAUCCUAAAGCAGUAAGUAUGUAGUGAUUUCC